AAGAAUAUUCGUCGUUAUAUUAUAUUCGUUCGUUGAUACAGUAUAUAUAUGUAUCGGUCGUGCGAAUAUGCGAUAAUUAUGGAACGAUUACAGUUCCAAUUAUAUAAGUAUUAAAUGUAUUCAUAAAAUUUCCAAGAAAUAUAAUUUUCGAGUAUAAAUAUUUAGUAUCGGGAGUGCCGAGAAAAGUAUCGGGAGUGUCGAAAAAAGUAUAUCGGGAGUGUCGAAAAAAGUACCGGGAGUGUCGAAAAAAAGUAUCGGGAGUGCUGAAAAAAAUAUCGAGCGAUAAUUAUGUAUAUAGUAUAUAUCGGGUCGGUAGUGAACAGAAUAUGAGACAAUUCCAUCAAGCUAACUCUGCACAAGUCCUGCUUCAAAUAUUAUUAACAUUUGCAAACACCAGUAGCAAAGAAAAAACGACCAACAACAAGAGAGGAGGAAGAGGCCCGGGGAGGCAUCGGGCAAGAACGGAACAAUCGUAAGAUCAUCAUAUCCAUAUGCACUACAACUCUGUUAUGAUGCGUCGUACCG